rnacentral:rRNA from 1 species
UACGUAGGGGGCAAGCGUUGUCCGGAUUUAUUGGGCGUAAAGAGCGUGUAGGCGGCUUUACAGGUCCGUUGUGAAAACUCGAGGCUCAACCUCGAGACGCCGGUGGAAACCGUAAAGCUAGAGUCCGGGAGGGGCGAGUGGAAUUCCUGGUGUAGCGGUGAAAUGCGUAGAUAUCGGGAGGAACAUCGAUGGCGAAGGCAAUCACCUGGGCCUGAACUGACACUGUGACACGAAAGCGUGGGUAGCAAACAGGA